rnacentral:lncRNA from 1 species
UCCCUUCCCGCGAUCCCUGGCCUCACCCUGAGUGGAAGGCUCUGUAAAACAUCGAGAAAAAGAGGGCAUGAGAACUAUAAUUUAUAGUUCCCAGUGGGCAAUUACUGACCUCAGCUCAAUGCACCACUAGGCCCCAAAAGAAAAGGGUAAGUACAAUAAUAAUAGCAAUAAAUAGCGAACACGAAAACUGCUGAAAGAAAGCAUGAAUGAAAUGCUAGGCUACUAUGUCUCCAAUAAGCAUGAUGUCAAGGUAAUGUACAUCUACGCUAUCAUAAGGUAAUAUAUCCGAUGCAUACUAAUAUGUCUCAACAUAAUAAGCAAGUAAACCUCACGAUGCCAUAUGUCAAUGCAUAAGGGUAAACUCUAUCCAAACAACCGAGUAUACUACGAUGCAAUAAUGAAACCGGCAAGUAUACUAAAUGUACCAAUGCUAUAUCAUAAGCGUGUCCAAGUAAUCCAACUACUAAUCCUAUCUAGUAGUGAUUGUUCAUACUCAACACCGUGUCGAUUUCCAUUUCCAAUUAAGGACCUACCCAAGGUAGUCCAGCUUGUGCCGCCUAAGUGCCUGUGGUAGCCCAACAUCCCUACUCUUGGAAUGUGUCUGUCCCACUCGACCCCGUAGGCUUCUCAAUACCGCACGAGCGAACAUAGGUCGCGUAGGCUAACUCCGGAGUGCCGGCUUGUAGGGAGCGACCCUCACAAGCAUGUGCGAAUGAGCACAAAUGGCAAACAAGCGUAGUCGAUGGCUCAAGUAUCCAACCCUCAUGUCUCUAACAUGGUAUAGUCACUAGCAUCUCGAAGAUCUAGUUCUAAGUCACAAGUGAAGUCCCAACCUUCUCUAGGUCUAGUGCCCCUUUAUGACACUUAGACAUUUAAUAAUUAAGCAUGUUUCACAUUCCUCAAUGGCCCUAUCCACUAGGUUCACACAUGUCCCGAGCUCAAUGCCGCUUGAUGACAUUAGCUCUCUAGUUCACAUACAUUCUAGUUCAAUAUCUUUAUAUGGC